rnacentral:rRNA from 1 species
UUUGGUGACUUCAAUGAGAUUUUAGCAAGCGAUGAGAAGGUAGGGGGAGCAGGCCGGCCUCAACACUACCUUGAUGAGUUUAGGGAGGCUUUGCACCAGUGUAGCUUGAGAGACAUUGGGUAUGAAGGAGAUACAUUCACCUGGAGGAACCAUGAUAUUUGCGAGCGUCUAGAUAGGGCAACAUCAAAUGAGGAGUGGUGUGAGAUGUUCCCAAAUUUCAUAGUAAUCAAUGGUGAACCGAGACAUUCAGACCAUCUACCAAUAAUUGUGCAGCUGGAAGGGGUGGAUAAAAAUGGAAGAAUGGGGACAAUAACUUCAGAUUUGAGGCACGGUGGUUGCAGGAGGAGGGGUGUGAAGAUGUGA